GGGGUAUCUGUACUUUACUAUUUAUAUUUUUGACCAUUUUUACUUUUACGCCACUACAUUUCUAAAGAAAAUAUGUACUUUUUACGCCCAUACAUUUUCCCUGAAACCAAAAAGUACUUGUUAUUUAGAAUGUUCAUGCAGGACAGCAUUAUGGUCCGAUUCAAGCGCCUAUCAAUAUAUUUUUUUUUAAUUUAACCUCAAUAUAACAAGUUGUCAUACUGCCCCUGAUCUGAGUGUACCCUGUCAGGCCAUAAAACAUUUUUUUUAAACGUGCGGCCUUAUAAGGAAUUUGAUGUAUAACAUUUACUUUUACUCAAGUAUGACAAUUGAGUAAUUUUCCCACCACUGUACUUAAGUACAUUUAAAACCAGAUACUUUUCGACUUUUACUCAAGUAGUAUUUUACUGGGUUACUUUUACUUGAGUCUAUUAAGGUAUCUUUACUUUGACUCAAGUAUGACUAUUGAGUACUUUUUCCAGCACUGCGUGGUGUAUAAAUAACUAUAAGCAGUUCGCAUGUCUGACAUUUCAGAGUUUCCUAGUCCGACUAGCACACGGCAUAUCACUGCCACGUGUUUACUGUUUAACAGCAAGGCACAUUCUUCUUCUUCUUCUUCUUCUUCCUUAGGUCGAAAUGGCAGGAAAAUGAGUCGAGAGACGCUUAGCGCCAUAUAUUGUUGAGUUUGAGAACUUAAAAGCAAGUGACCACACCAGCACCUGUUACUUUGUGAUUGCUGCCCCGCCCACUCUUUGACUGGAAUGAGAGCGAGUGCAUGAAUUUGUUUGUGCCAUUUCUUUGGUUCUUUUCUCCCAAAUCCUGGGGGACAAUCAUCGUUGCAACAUGGUUUGGUUUCUGAUUCUCAUCUGGUUUGUCCAAGUGGGCAGUGUUCCCAUCGUCAAUUUCCCAAAUUCUACUACUUCAAAUUCUACUUUCCCUGCCACAGUGGACAACUCUACAAACCCCAUCAACAAUUAUACAAAUGUGACUUUCUCUGCCACAGUAUAUGAGAUCCCGCUGGAAUCCCGUCUUCCACGCGGUCUCCGAGGCUGCAGGAGCCUGCUGCGCCACUAAGAGGCAGAGGAGCACCAGCAUAAAAACAGGUGCCUGAGGGUACGUUAUAGAAGGUUACGUUUGAGUUUAUUUAGGGAGAGAUGUUUUCGGGAUUUAUAUUUUAG
rnacentral:lncRNA from 8 species